rnacentral:rRNA from 1 species
AAACCUGAGAGUUUGAUCCUGGCUCAGAACGAACGCUGGCGGCAGGCUUAACACAUGCAAGUCGAACGCAUCCUUCGGGGUGAGUGGCAGACGGGUGAGUAACGCGUGGGAAUCUACCCUUUUCUACGGGAUAGCUCCGGGAAACUGGAAUUAAUACCGUAUAAGCCCUUUGGGGGAAAGAUUUAUCGGGAAAGGAUGAGCCCGCGUUGGAUUAGCUAGUUGGUGGGGUAAUGGCCUACCAAGGCGACGAUCCAUAGCUGGUCUAAGAGGAUGAUCAGCCACAUUGG